UGGGUUGAAGAUUUUGUUUAUGAAGAGAUUGUAGAUGCAAUACCGAGAAUCAACACGAUUGGUAGCGAGAUAAGCAUUGCGAAAUCCGAAGUUGCAGUUGAGAUUGCAGAAUUAAAGGGUUUGAUCCAAGAAAUGAAGGAAGAUGAAAGGUGGAACAAAAUGGAAUUGAAGAGAUGGAAAUCGAUGACCGGUUUGUGCUUGGUGUGCCUUUCUCUCUCAGUCAUUGCAAUUCUGAUCAUAAUGUUCUAUAAGAACAAAAACCGGAAGCUUGUUCUUGGUUACUAAUCAGUCCUAGUGUUUACAAACCGAAAGCUUGUGUUUGUAAUGAAAUCCUUGUUCGGCUAAUCAGUCCUAAAUUUUUUAGUGAUCAAUCACUUUGAACCUGCCAAGUGCCAACACAAAAUCACGAGAUGUUUAAUUUUAAGUGAUCAAUCUGUUUAAGAACCUGCUUAGUAGAACUUGUGUCACAAAGACAAGUCAAAUCACAUAAUGAAAUCGAUUCAGGUUCGUCAUCCUCCUCCUCUUCAACUCUCACUCUUUUUCGUUUUCGAAGCCUCUGUGAUACCGGAGCUUCAACUCCGACAGAAGACUCUGCUACAACAACAGCCGGCAACGCUAGAACUCCACCAUCAAACUCCAUCUCCGGUGGAGCUCGAACUCCAUCUCCGGUUUCAGCUUCUCGUCGUGGUGGAAUAGGAGCAAUGUCGACUUCGCCUUCCAUUGCUAAGGCAAUCACAACAAGAUUAAUCGAAGAACAAACACGAUUUUACCAAUGAGAGAAUUAGGGAUUUGGUUUGAGAGAAUUAGGGAUUUUGAGAGAAUUAGGGAUUGAGUUUUCGAUUUGGGCGUUUUGAUUUGUUUCGUUAGGUUUGAAACGACGGCGUUUUGGUCUUAACAGAAUUCAUUAACGUUCUCUUAACGGGGUUAAUCAGCGAGUUAACGUCUCGGGAUUUUGGCCAGGUCAACGUUUUAUUUCUGUUAAAAUGGCUGGUCAACGUAUUUUUCAUGUUUAUUUUGGCCGACGUCAGAGUUCACGUAUAAAAUGACCACUUUUUGAAAGUUCGCGUAUAAAACAACAUUUUUCCCAUUAUAAUUGGGUUUAGUUUCCUCAAGAAAAUCGGUUAAAUGAAUAAUAAACCGAUAAACCCAAGAUCGUGGGUUUCUAAAUCUAUAACUAUUAAUUCGAAAAAUUUAUACUGUAUAUUGAAAUUUUUGUUAGGGGGAGAAAUAGAUAGAGAACUAU
rnacentral:sRNA from 1 species